AUACGGAGGGUGCGAGCGUUACUCGGAAUCACUGGGCGUAAAGCGCGCGCAGGCGGUCUUUUAAGUCGGAUGUGAAAGCCUACGGCUCAACCGUAGAACUGCAUCCAAAACUAUUAGACUAGAGUGUGGGAGAGGAAGAUGGAAUUAGUUGUGUAGGGGUAAAAUCCGUAGAGAUAACUAGGAAUACCAAAAGCGAAGGCAAUCUUCUGGAACACUACUGACGCUGAGGCGCGAAAGCGCGGGGAGCAAACAGGAUUAGAAACCCCAGUAGUCC
rnacentral:rRNA from 1 species